rnacentral:rRNA from 1 species
GAUGAACGCUGGCGGCGUGCCUAAUACAUGCAAGUCGAGCGAACAGAUGAGGAGCUUGCUCCUCUGACGUUAGCGGCGGACGGGUGAGUAACACGUGGAUAACCUACCUAUAAGACUGGGAUAACUUCGGGAAACCGGAGCUAAUACCGGAUAAUAUAUUGAACCGCAUGGUUCAAUAGUGAAAGACGGUUUUGCUGUCACUUAUAGAUGGAUCCGCGCCGCAUUAGCUAGUUGGUAAGGUAACGGCUUACCAAGGCAACGAUGCGUAGCCGACCUGAGAGGGUGAUCAGCCACACUGGAAGUGAGACACCGUCCAGACUCCUACGGGAGGCAGCAGUAGGGAAUCUUCCGCAAUGGGCGAAAGCCUGACGGAGCAACGCCGCGUGAGUGAUGAAGGUCUUCGGAUCGUAAAACUCUGUUAUUAGGGAAGAACAAAUGUGUAAGUAACUAUGCACGUCUUGACGGUACCUAAUCAGAAAGCCACGGCUAACUACGUG